rnacentral:rRNA from 1 species
UACGUAGGGUGCGAGCGUUGUCCGGAAUUAUUGGGCGUAAAGAGCUCGUAGGCGGCUUGUUGCGUCGUCCGUGAAAUCCCAUGGCUCAACUGUGGGCUUGCGGUCGAUACGGGCAGGCUGGAGUUCGGUAGGGGAGACUGGAAUUCCUGGUGUAGCGGUGAAAUGCGCAGAUAUCAGGAGGAACACCGGUGGCGAAGGCGGGUCUCUGGGCCGAUACUGACGCUGAGGAGCGAAAGCGUGGGGAGCGAACAGG